GCCUUCAUGUUGUAGUGGUUCUGCAUGCUGGGCCGAUAAUCCAGAGGUCCGUGGUUCGAUUCCUGGUGAAGGCG
rnacentral:tRNA from 1 species